UGGUUGAUCCUGCCAGAGGCUACUGCUAUCGGGGUCCGACUAAGCCAUGCGAGUUGAGAGGGUAAAGCCCUCGGCAUAUUGCUCAGUAACACGCGGAUAACCUGCCCUUGGGUUCGGGAUAACCCCGGGAAACUGGGACUAAUACCGGAUAGAUCAAAGAAACUGGAAUGUUCUCUGGUUAAAAACUCCGGUGCCCAAGGAUGGGUCUGCGGCCUAUCAGGUAGUAGUGGGUGUAACGUACCUACUAGCCUACGACGGGUAAGGGUUGUGAGAGCAAAGUCCCUGAGAUGGAUUCUGAGACAUGAAUCCAGGCCCUACGGGGUGCAGCAGGCGCGAAAACUUUACACUGCGGGAAACCGCGAUAAGGGGACCCCGAGUGCCAGCACCUAGUGCUGGCUGUCCAGCUGUCCAAACAACAGUUGUUAGCAAGGGCCGGGCAAGACCGGUGCCAGCCGCCGCGGUAACACCGGCGGCCCGAGUGGUAGCCGUUAUUAUUGGGUUUAAAGGGUCCGUAGCCGGCCUAUUAAGUCCCUUGGGAAAUCUGGCGGCUUAAUCGUCAGGCGUCCAAGAGAUACUGGUAGGCUUGGGACCGGGAGAGGUGGGAGGUACUCCAGGGGUAGGGGUGAAAUCUCGUAAUCCUUGGGGGACCACCGAUGGCGAAGGCAUCCCACCAGAACGGGUCCGACGGUGAGGGACGAAAGCUGGGGGCACGAACCGGAUUAGAUACCCGGGUAGUCCCAGCUGUAAACGAUGCUCGCUAGGUGUCAGAUGCGGUGCGACCGCAUCUGGUGCCGCAGUGAAAACUUGAAGCGAGUCACCUGGGAAGUACGGUCGCAAGGCUGAAACUUAAAGGAAUUGGCGGGGGAGCAC
rnacentral:rRNA from 1 species